AAUGCCAACAUUUUGUUUCAUAGCAAAUAUUGUCAUCUGAAAAUAUACCUGACUGAGGUUAACAUGCUUACACCAUGAUUUUGCAAUAGCAGGUAUGAGAUUUUCUGUAAAUAAAUCCAUCAAAAAGUAAAAAGGGAAGGAAUUGUUCUGAAUCAAAUGAUUAUACCUGUAGAGCUUGUAACAAGGAGAUAUCUUACUGAUCUUUAAGAAACAUGAAGCAGUAAGAUAAGAAGCAAUGACAGGAAUAUUUUUUUUAUUUGAGUCUUCUUCUAUAACCAGAUUCUUAUUUAUUUUACUGAAAUCAGAAAAGUAUUCCGAUCUGCAAGAACUUGAGUGGGGGAGAUGUAUGUCAGAAGAAAAGAUAAUUGAUGGUAAACGUCAAAUAUUAAAUCUUGAUCUGGUUAUUACCCAGCAUAUUAGCUAUGUAAGAAGCUUAACAAUUACAGCUAUGAUUGACUAGGUGGGAUCCAAAAUUCUAAAUAUCAACUGCCAGAAGGGAUAAUUAUAACACAUUAGCACCUGCGUGCUUAGACAAGAUUGACAACUCCAGUCUAACAUCUGCUUAAUAUCACUUUCAUACUUUUCAUAUUUUUUUUCUUUUCGAAAGGAAUAACAAAGAUUUUCUUGAAGCAUAACAAUAAUUCAGCAUCCAUGUUACACAUUCAGUUGAUUAUAGUUGCUUGUUGUCUUUGGUCAUGUUUUGCACUGACACGUUUAAAAUUAAACAAAGCCUUUUUGGGAUUAGACAGCCACAGUUGUGGUAUAUUUUAGACAAAAUGUACCUGUCAGAAUCAUUUGAAGAAAUCCCAACAAGGGGGCUGCUCUUCAAUCAUCUGGGGUGGCCAAUGCAAUUUAACAACAAAAUGAAAUUGGGCUGGAAAAGAAAGGCCUCGCUUUCCCACAACAGGAGCAAGAGAGAGAAGGGAAUUUAGCAUUCAGUAUGAACAGCUCCGUGAAGGUGCCCUGCUGGGCUCUUUGCGGGGGCAAGGUGAAGCGUUCCCCUCCCGGCACAAGCCCUGGCUGUGCCCGCCCUGGGGCCCGCGCUGUGAGCUGGAGGCGCCUCUGCCUCCGGGCCUGCCCUGGGGCCUGCCUGGCUCCGCGCCCUCCGGCAGCUCCCUCAGCUCCUCCGCCCAAACCAGCCCAGAACUGGGCUGCCGGCGGGCCCUGCCAGGCCCCAGGAAUUGCAGGGUGCCAGGACCCCCUUCAAGGUUGCUCCAGUUUUGGGGGACCCCUCCCAGUGAAACUCUCCAGCAUAUUCUGCCCAAAGGCAGGUGUUGCUUUCCUCGCGUUUGCUCCGCAGUGCAUUUACUCGAGCAGUAACACCAGCUGCCCCGGUUCUGCAAUGCACAAACUUUCCUGAGUGGGAGCUGGCCUCAUAGAAGAGGGAGUGGUGAUAAUGGUCCCAUGAGGGCACAGAUGUGACUAAGCACAGACAGCUUAGUCACCCUUCUGUCCUGGGCAGAGAGAUAUUCCUCAGCUGGCAGUCUAAAGACCCCUCCUGACCCUGUGUGUUUCUGUGCUGGGAAUCUCAGCAGCAGAGGCUGCUCUUGGACUCGUUGGGAAUUUAAUGGAGAUUUUCAUUGAAACAGGCAGAAAUUUCUCAUGGAAAAAUAUAUAAGUGUUCAAAGGAAUACACUUAGUAAAAAUUUAUUGAAAAGGGGCAAAAAUCUCAUUCCCCGUGGGCUUAGCUUUAUGGUAGCAGAGCACUGACUAAUUUUAUAUUAAAUCCUUCACUGCCUUGAGUGAGCUGUGAAGCUUUAAGCCCACAUAACUCUCUGCCCAUUUCUUGAGGUACAAUCCAAGGUUGUUUUUUAAGUCUAGAAAGGGUAGUUCAAGUAUACACUGCUCAGACCUGAUGCCAUGGAAGACUAACUCACCCAGCAGUGCCAGCCAAACUACAUAAAGAGGCAGAAGAGUCUUCUCAGGGUGCAGCUGCAGAGUAUUUGGGCAAGCUCUGUUGACAAAAUAAAUCCUUUUGCUGCAACAACCACCUCUUAACAUCUUAGGGCCUGUGUAAUAAAUACAGGAAAGGGACUUCAGCUUGAAGCCAGCUAAAUUGUAACUUUUUAUUUUGACCAACUGGAGUAUGAGUUGAUAUAUGCAACUACUGAAGCUUAUGAAGGACAACACCAUUCAGCUUCAUCAUCAAUCAACCAUGGUGUAAUAAAUGCUUUCAUUUACUGAUCA